GCUAGAGGAGGAAGAGGGGCUGCUGGAGAGAGAGAGCGCGCCAGGUUCAGGUCCAGGGAGGAGAGAGAGCGAGCGCGCGAGGCGGAGACCUGGAGGGAGAGGAGCUGCGGAGAGGGGUUAGGCGGGGAGGGAGAGAGAGAACCAGGUUCCGGUCCAGGGAGGAGAGAGACAGCGCGCGCGAGGCGGAGACCUGGAGGAGAGGAGCUGCGGAGAGGGGUUAGGCGGGGAGAGAGAGAGAGCGAGCCAGGUUCAGGUCCAGGGAGGAGAGAGACAGCGCGCGCGAGGCGGAGACCUGGAGGGAGAGGAGCUGCGGAGAGGGGUUAGGCGGGGAGGGAGAGAGAGAACCAGGUUCAGGUCCAGGGAGGAGAGAGACAGCGCGCGCGAGGCGGAGACCUGGAGGAGAGGAGCUGCGGAGAGGGGUUAGGCGGGGAGAGAGAGAGAGCGAGCCAGGUUCAGGUCCAGGGAGGAGAGAGACAGCGCGCGCGAGGCGGAGACCUGGAGGGAGAGGAGCUGCGGAGAGGGGUUAGGCGGGGAGGGAGAGAGCCAGGUUCAGGUCCAGGGAGGAGAGAGACAGCGCGCGCGAGGCGGAGACCUGGAGGGAGAGGAGCUGCGGAGAGGGGUUAGGCGGGGAGAGAGAGAGCGAGCCAGGUUCAGGUCCAGGGAGGAGAGAGACAGCGCGCGCGAGGCGGAGACCUGGAGGGAGAGGAGCUGCGGAGAGGGGUUAGGCGGGGAGGGAGAGAGACAGCGCGCGCGAGGCGGAGACCUGGAGGGAGAGGAGCUGCGGAGAGGGGUUAGGCGGCGGGAGGCCCGGGAGCGUUACAUGUGUGUGGACUCGGGGAGGGCGGCGGGGGGCCGCUCCUCGGGGCCGUCUGCCUGCAGGAAGGAGUCCACGGACUUGCUGCUGAGGCGGAAGGGCAUCAGGCGGCAGAAGGUGCCGGGAGAGUAGGGAAUCUGCGUGCGGGCCCUCUGCGAGGGGACCACCGUCUCCCCGGGAGACAGCCAGGGCGGCAGCCUGGCCAGGAGGCUGCGGUCCAGGGCCUCGUCCGGAGAAAACACAGGGUUGUCAAUUCCUAGGAGAGAGGGCAGCGGCUAGUCAGCCUUCGGAGAGCCCCACGGCGGCAGGGGAGACCUCGCCGGGGCCGUCACCUGCUGGGUGCCUUGGAAAGUUAGGGUCACCGGGAAGGUUAGGGUCACGUGCCUUUCAGGUUGCGGGCCCUUCCCCCACAUCCAUGACCCCACACGCCACAGGCAGCACAGGUAACGUCUCGCUUCCCUCAAGACAUACCCCACCUGCUCCCUGCCCGGCCCACGUCUCCCCGGACAGCAGCCUCCGAGUUGGUUGAGGGGGCACUCAGUGGGUGCCAAGCAGGGCCCUUGAGAACCCACAGGAGACCCCACCCCCCCAGGUCCCAGUGCCCCUGGUCCAAUGACCGAGCUCCCUCCUGGGGCGGCAGGAGCCACCCCUCCCUUAGCCACGACGCCUGUGCCCCGUCCCCACCUGCAGGGGAGUCGGACGCUGUGUCCUUGGUGACACUAGCCAGGAACUCGAUCCCCCCACUCAUCUCCUCAUCAUAGUUGGGGGGCUCCUCGGUGUCUGAAAGUUCCAAGUCUGGGGAAGACAGGUUGGGGUGAGGACUGGGGUCACUGGGGGGCUGUCCUCACAGCCCAGUCAGCAGUGUCCAUCAGCUCUGUGCACAGAGGUGCAGGCAGUCGGGACCCACAGAGAGGAGGGCUAAACCGCAGGGCUGGAGGAGGGACCCCACUUAGAGGGCAGUGUCCCUGGAACCCCAUCCUGGGUGGGUCUGCAGCUGGGGCCCUGACCAUGCCUCCCCUGCCUGGGUGGCUGGAGGGUCCCCAGAGGGGAAGGUCCUGAGAGGGGAGGUUCCCGAGCCGGGAGGGCUGGGGCUGGGAGGUGGUGGCUCCCAGUCCCAGCGUUCCUGCAGGGCCCCCAGCGCACCUUUCUCCUUGAUGGUGAAAUUCUGCGCAGGGCUCUCCAUGGGCAGCUUCCCAUUGGGGAUGCUGCUGUUUCUCUGCGGAGCAAACGUGAAGCUGCUCACACCCCGACACAGCCACACCCAGCCCUGACUGCCCCCGCUCCAGGCCCCAGCCCCGCCAAGCCUCCUGGUGACCCAGCCUUACCCGCUUCUGGGCACGCUCCCGCUUGUACAGCUUGGCCGCCUUCUUGUUCUGGUUGAGCCCCAGCUUGGUCGACUUGAAGGACUCCAGGCGCUUCCGCAUGGUCCUGUGGAAGAUUUCCCGGUCCUGUUUCUCGUCCUCCGUGGGCGUGAGCUCGUGUCGGCUGUACAGAUGCUUGUACUGCGGGAUCAGGCACGGAGGUCACAGCUGUGCCCACCGCCGGACAUUCUCGCCCUCCUGCCGCAGGAGCUGAGCACGGAUCCCCCGUGGUCCCAGGAGGGGACGAGGAAGCCGCCCCACGGGGUCCCUGCGGGGUCCUCCAGCCCCCAGCCCGCAGUGCCCACCUCCUGCCGCGGCUUGUACAGGUACUGCUGUAGCGUGUGGUGCGUGACCAUGUCCUCCGCGUCCCGGAUGCUCCGCCGUCGCUGCUCCAGAGACUGCAUGUCCAGGCAGACAGCGCUGACAUUUUCUCUCCUGCGUGGGGACCAGCGCUGAGCCAUACAGGCUCCCUCAGGGUGGGGUCUCUUGCGCGCCCCUCGCCUUCCCACGGCGGGCAUCUGGCCCUGGCUGCCUCCUGCGUGCCCCUCGCCUUCCCAUGGUGGGCACCCGGCUGGGGCACGGGGACAUCUGCCAUCUGGCCAGCCCCUUCUCCCCUCGGGGCUUAGGCUGACUCCCCACGAGGCCUUCCUGGCCUCCUGUCUGAAGUGGGUCCCUUUCCUUACUGGUCCCUCUCCAAAGCCCUGGCUGUAAGACUCGGGGACCCCAGCAUCUGCACAUCUGGCAGAGUGGACCUCCUAUGAGAACUGGCUGUGAGCUGUGGAGCCCAGGGCCGGAGGAGCAGUAAGGGUGGCAUGGGGACCAGGACAGGCUGCUGCGGGCCAGGGGCAAACACGUCAGGCCUGGCCCCCAGUCCGCUGCUGCCCCUCCCUUUCACCUUCCAUCCAGCACUAAGGGAGUCUGGCCACGGCCUAAUAUAGGAGGGCUUGUGGAAGGAGACACCCACCCCCUCUUUCUGCACCUCUCCCCUCUUCCAUGCCACCCCCAGGCCAGGAGCCACCACAGCCCUGUCUGUGACUCUCAGCUCCCGAGGCUGGGCUCUUCCCCAGGGAAGCUGCAUGACCAUGGCCACAUACAGGAGGUAGGAGACAGAGGCCUCCACGGUGGACGAUCGUGGCGUGAAGUCCACGUUGACCACGUUGUCGGUGCUGGGGGAGCGGAUGAAGGCCAGGGACCCGCGGCGCUCUCCCUGUGGUCAGGAAGCAGCCCGGUCAGUGGCCUGAGCAGCCAAGCCCUAGCUGCUGCCAUUGUGUGCCCUGGGGGGAAGCGCCCAGAGCUCGGGGCCCGGGGAAAGCCUUGAGACCUGAGCCCCGGGUUCACGCCUCACAGCUGCAGAGGGAGGGGUGGAAAUGCCAAAACCAGGAGAUCAGAUUUUGAGCCCCUGUCCGUCUGAGGCCACAGCCAGGCUGCUGCCUGAACUGGGCAGAGGUCAUGCUUGUGGGAGGACACAGUGGUCUGAGUGUGAAGGGGUAAAGCUGCCUGGGACUUGGGAUGUGUCUGGGGAAAGUGUUGAUACUGCAGAAUCAUUGAAGUGGUCUCUGUCCCUGCAGGAGACCCUAAAACUCCAUUGGCCUCAUGUCCAGAACUGAAUCAGGUUCAGCUCGUGGAAGACAUUCAGGAUCCGGUCUCGAGACUUCUGGGCCGACCGUCUCAUGAGGACCCUGCUGAGGAACUUCCUGUCGAAGUGGGACCACCUGUAGGGACAGACCUUGGGUGUGAGCCUCAGGUGACAGGCGCCCUAGAGCCCGCCGGACGCGUGGCCCGGCCCCUUCUCUCCUGAAUUUUGUUUGCUAUAGUGACCCUGUAGGCGCGUUUAAAAUGAGGGAAGCAGCCCCUGCCACACGCCCAGGCCGUCCGCCGUUCUCCCGCCUGUCCUGUUGGAUGGAGGCCGUUAGACGCAUAUGAAACUGCAUGCCGCCUCCUCCAGAGGGUGGCUCAGGACACGCCUAACGGAAUUAGAGUAUUCGCUGGUUAUCCAGAUCAGAAGGGACGGUGGCCUGGCCGGACUUAGAGGAAACUCUGGGGCACAAGGAGGUGAUGCCUGUCACUUGGACAUGGGUGCAGCCGCCAGAGCCGCCCUCCAGGGCACAGGGUGGGCCCGGGUGAGCUUGUGUGCUCACACCUGGGCAGGCCCCGCGGCAGCAAUGGCAGCUCUCCUGUACAGGCUGAGUUUCAGCCACACCAAGAAGUCAAAGCUAACCGAGGCUGUGCCUUCCGAGACCCCCGGGAUGGCCCCUGGGAGGCCAAGGAGUCGGGGACUGGGUACCCGGAGCAGAGUCACUGUGGCCACGGAGAACCGCAGCUGAGCUUUAUGAAGCCACGUGGCCACACCUCCCGGUGCCUCCACCCCAAGCAAACACAGAUCGCUCAGAAAAUGGGAACCCAGGGCAAAUUGUAUGUGCUCCUUACUGGGUUUAUUAUAAGUGUCACAUGUUUUUUAUAAUAAAACAUAGGUGAUUUCACCUUAAUGGACAAACUCUUUUUUUUAUUUUGGGACGAAGUCUCGCUCUGUCACCAGGCUGGAAUGUAAUGGCGCAAUCUCGGCUCACCGCAGCCUCCACCUCCCGGGUUCAAGCGAUUCUUGUGCCUUAGCCUCCUGAGUAGCUGGGAUUACAGGCCCACGCCACCACCCC
rnacentral:lncRNA from 1 species